rnacentral:rRNA from 1 species
UACCAGCACCCCGAGUGGUCGGGACGUUUAUUGGGCCUAAAGCAUCCGUAGCCGGUUCUACAAGUCUUCCGUUAAAUCCAACUGCUUAACAGGUGGGCUGCGGAAGAUACUAUAGAGCUAGGAGGCGGGAGAGGCAAGCGGUACUUAGUGGGUAGGGGUAAAAUCCGUUGAUCCAUUGAAGACCACCAGUGGCGAAGGCGGCUUGCCAGAACGCACUCGACGGUGAGGGAUGAAAGCUGGGGGAGCAAACCGG